rnacentral:rRNA from 1 species
UGGGGAAUAUUGGGCAAUGGGGGAAACCCUGACCCAGCAACGCCGCGUGAAGGAAGAAGGCCCUCGGGUUGUAAACUUCUUUUACCAGGGACGAAGGACGUGACGGUACCUGGAGAAAAAGCAACGGCUAACUACGUGCCAGCAGCCGCGGUAAUACGUAGGUUGCAAGCGUUGUCCGGAUUUACUGGGUGUAAAGGGCGUGUAGGCGGAGAUGCAAGUUGGGAGUGAAAUCCCGGGGCUCAACCCCGGAACUGCUCCGAGAACUGCAGGACUCGAAUCGCUGAGGGGGAGCCGGAAUUCCAGGUGUAGGGGUGAAAUCUGUAGAUAUCUGGAAGAACACCAAUGGCGAAGGCAGGUUUCUAGCAGACGAUUGACGCUGAGGUGCGAAGGUGCGGGGAGCAAACAGGAUUAGAUACCCUGGUAGU